rnacentral:rRNA from 1 species
AACGAACGCUGGCGGCAUGCCUAACACAUGCAAGUCGAACGAGACCUUCGGGUCUAGUGGCGCACGGGUGAGUAACGCGUGGGAAUCUGCCCUUGGGUUCGGAAUAACAGUUGGAAACGACUGCUAAUACCGGAUGAUGACGUAAGUCCAAAGAUUUAUCGCCCAAGGAUGAGCCCGCGUAGGAUUAGCUAGUUGGUGAGGUAAAGGCUCACCAAGGCGACGAUCCUUAGCUGGUCUGAGAGGAUGAUCAGCCACACUGGGACUGAGACACGGCCCAGACUCCUACGGGAGGCAGCAGUGGGGAAUAUUGGACAAUGGGCGAAAGCCUGAUCCAGCAAUGCCGCGUGAGUGAUGAAGGCCUUAGGGUUGUAAAGCUCUUUUACCCGGGAUGAUAAUGACAGUACCGGGAGAAUAAGCUCCGGCUAACUCCGUG